rnacentral:rRNA from 1 species
UCUGGUGAUGAUGGCAUGGAAGUAACACUCCUACCCAUUCCGAACAGGAAAGUUAAGAUCCAUAGCGCCGAA